rnacentral:rRNA from 1 species
GAUGAACGCUGGCGGCGUGCCUAAUACAUGCAAGUCGAGCGAAUGGAUUAAGAGCUUGCUCUUAUGAAGUUAGCGGCGGACGGGUGAGUAACACGUGGGUAACCUGCCCAUAAGACUGGGAUAACUCCGGGAAACCGGGGCUAAUACCGGAUAACAUUUUGAACCGCAUGGUUCGAAAUUGAAAGGCGGCUUCGGCUGUCACUUAUGGAUGGACCCGCGUCGCAUUAGCUAGUUGGUGAGGUAACGGCUCACCAAGGCAACGAUGCGUAGCCGACCUGAGAGGGUGAUCGGCCACCCUGGGGCGGAAACACGGCCGAGACUCCUACGGGAGGCAGCAGUAGGGAAUCUUCCGCAAUGGACGAAAGUCUGACGGAGCAACGCCGCGUGAGUGAUGAAGGCUUUCGGGUCGUAAAACUCUGUUGUUAGGGAAGAACAAGUGCUAGUUGAAUAAGCUGGCACCUUGACGGUACCUAACCAGAAAGCCACGGCUAACUACGUGCCAGCCGCCGCAGUAA